GAGUGGCAGACUGGAAAAUCUCUGCAGGCAAAUGUGAUGUCACUGAAGAAUCACACACUUACCUGUAAAGAUUCUGCAGUCUGACAGC
rnacentral:pre_miRNA from 13 species